rnacentral:rRNA from 1 species
CCUACGGGUGGCAGCAGUGAGGAAUAUUGGGCAAUGGGGGCAACCCUGACCCAGCAAUGCCGCGUGCGGGAGGACGCCCUUCGGGGUGUAAACCGCUUUUGUGCGUGAGGAGCAAGGACCGUAGCGCAUGAAUAAGUCACGGCUAACUACGUGCCAGCAGCCGCGGUAAUACGUAGGUGGCGAACGUUAUCCGGAAUUACUGGGCGUAAAGGGUCCGCAGGCGGUCCGGCCAGUCGGAUGUGACAGCGCACGGCUUAACUGUGCGCGGUCAUUCGAAACUGCCGGACUAGAAUGGGGGCGAGGUCGGUGGAAUUCCCGGUGUAGUGGUGGAAUGCGUAGAGAUCGGGAGGAACCUCGAACGCGAAGGCAGCCGGCUAGCCCCAGAUUGACGCUGAGGGACGAAGGCGUGGGGAGCGAACAGGAUUAGAUACCCUUGUAGU